GGAGGGCCCUGAAACAGUCGCCUGACACAGUCAGUCGAGUGGGGCAGUCUGUCAGCCUGAGCUGUUCCGAGAUGGAGACUUCACAUUAUCAGAUGUACUGGUAUAAAGUGCCUGUAGGGAUGGAGUCCAAGCUUGAAUUGGUUGUUUUUGCACUCAAAGACAUCAAGGUAGAGACUGAGAAGGAUUUCAGUGACGGUCGCUUCAAGAGCAGCGGCAUACAAGCUGAUGGUCUAUCUCUAUCAGUAGAUCCUGCCACUCUCAGUGACUCAGGCACAUAUUACUGUGCUGAAA